ACGAAACUCUCAUCUCUAGUUACCAACUAGCGUUGAUCCUCACAUCUGCCCCAUCCCUACUGAUACUCAUAAUAUGAAAACAAAUGCCUAUGUGCAAGAUAUGUUAUGUGACUAAAUAAUUUACGAAUUCUAAAAUUUUAUAGCAAGAAGAAAUCGCAUUGCUAACUUCUGCCGUAAUCUUUUCGUUGCUUUUUAGUAUGAUAAUGAUUAUGAGUCAAUUUGUGGGCUAAAAGUUCAAAUUUUAGGCAUAUUUGGCCAUCGGCUCUUGACAAAGAAAUUAACCUAAUUGAAAGAAGCCACUGAUCUCAAGGAGUAUUUAAAAGAGAAAACACAGAGGCCGAAAAGGUUGGCAAGCCUGGAGCGCGGUGGUGCUCUUACCUGCCUCAACACAGAAAGUAUAUGAUUGAAAUUUUGGCAAUAUCCAUGAAGAGUCUUCCAUCAAAGCUGCACACCUUAGGGAGAAAAUCUCUACUGUUGCUGAGCUUAGUGGGGGUACAAUUGUGUUAACCAGCUGGCAGCUGGUUCCUGUGCCCAUGGAGCUCUUUCCAUGGCCCGGUCCCAUGAGGAGACCUCUUCCACAGGUGACCUGAAGGAAAGCGCAAUCUCUUCCACCAGCAUGGAGCAGUGGAGCAGCGUGGAGCAAUCUAGCAGCGUGUGCAGUCUCCUCUCUUGCCUGCCACCACCACCAGCUGCUCAAUGGAAUCUGGGUCGCUUGUAUCAAGGUGCAUUCUGCAACUUGCAUUUCAUGUUGGAUAUUCUGCCCCUACAUACAGGGAUGUGCACAGAGUUGUAGAGGGGCAGGGGCUCAGAGUAUUAUAAGGGUAGUUCAACUUCAUGCGAACGCACAAAGCACACGAGCUAAAAAAAAUUUGGGCAUUUAUUUAUUAUAAUAUGGUUUUGAACAUUACAAUCAGAUUAUGUUGACUGGUUUUCAUUUACAAUCUGAUCUGGUGGUGAAUGAGCCUUUAGUCAAGGACCAAGUCCACCAAGUCUAAUUAUCUCAACUUUAUACUAUAAUAUCACUUGAUAUGAGAUUAUUCACAUUUAGUACUGUUUUUUUUAUCUAUUUUUUUUAUUGCAUAUAGUGCCUGUAGAUCUACUU